CUCCCCAUCAUAUAUCACAUGAUUUUUCAUAGUACACACAGUUUUAACCAUUUAAAACCAUUUUGGUUCUGAUGAAAAUUCCCUGUGAUGAAAGGAUCAGGAGGCUCUGGUCCUGUAGUUAAUUUCUCUACAUUUAUGAUUCAGAAACUGAAUUUAAUAUAAAAUUAAAUAAAAAAAAAAGUUUGGAAAUAGUGAGCAGCUUACUGACAUUGCACCAACUUUUAUAUUAAGAAACAUGUUUAAUAGCCAAGACAGUUAUCAAAAUUGCUUCACCUUAACUCUUAGUUUUUCAGUUUCAGCUUCAUUUGGAAGUUAUGGUUUUCCUCUGCAGUAGUUCACUGGGAAAUUUCCUAUGUUUCCCCUACUUUUAUUUCUCUGAAACUGCCAGCAGUGUUGUAUGCAGUGUCAACAAGGAGACACUAGAGAGCAAUAGUAGAUGCUGGCUUGGGAAUUAACUGUGCUGUCUCAACAGUAUUGCACAGGUCUGCUUGCUUGGUGAUGAAGAGACUAAGUAAAGGGCAUGUGCCUAGACCUACUACGUGACAAUGAAAUGUUGCCUUGAGACUACUGGUUUGGUUGUAUGGCAAGCACAUACAAGAACUUCCACAAAAUACAAUGGGAUUCCACAGGAACAAUUUAUAGGCUGAAAAUAGAUCAAAGACUUGCUUUGAACUCUCCAAACAAGCCUGUGGCAUUUAUGAUGGUGUUUUCAUGCUGGCACAUUAAGCUAGUUCAUAACUGUUUGGUUAGUUAGAUUGUAUCUUGACUGUAGAGGACUCACUAUUCCAAUAAGGAAUUAAACCUCCAAAACAAAAAGUUAUUAAUUUAUUUUCAGACACCAUUUUAAAUGAGAGAGGUUGCUGUUUGGUAAGCUCUCUGAGAGGCUUUAACCUAAUCUUUCUUGCCUUUUAGACUACAUAAAACAAGUCCUAUGAAUAGAGACUAGUUUCUUGUUACAGUGUACUUGGGAAUGCAGCCCUAAAAUAGUUUGCUGCUGUUUUACCUGUAUAAAGCCUCUGAUUUAAACAAGAUGAAGGCCAUUGCUGUUGGUGAAAGGUUUCUUCAGCCAGCUCAAAACUUUUCAGUGAGACGCAAGUUACAGCCUGCAGAAAUAUUGCGUAUGGGCAAAGUGUAUGUCAGUUUUCACAUCACAUAGCAGAAGGUUACCUGGCCUGAGCUGCUCACUGCUGACAACUUAGCAGUUGCAUGGAAAAUCUGUAUUCAUCUUAACAACAGGUGGGC